GUAAGACCAAGAGCAUCACCACCCACAGCAUCGUACCAAACCUUGACCACAUCGGGAAAUCCUUUCUCGAUAUCGGCAAUAAAGCACCUUACUGGAUCAAAAUUCACCAUCAGCUUACUUUUCAGUUCCCCAGAGUUCACUUUGAAGUCUCGAGGAGAAAAGAAAGGAUGGAAAAUCUUGGAUGCAUGCCCACGCACCACACAUCGCUCUUGUUCAAGUUCG
rnacentral:misc_RNA from 1 species